ACCACUAAAAAGUAAAAAUAAAAGAGGUUUUGAGAGAGGAAAACCCUCUUUCCCACUCCGCCCCUUGUUAUCCGUUGCUCGCUCUACAAUUGACCUGUGCUAAAGUUUUCAUUUCUCCAGAAGAUUGUUUAUUUUUUCUUCAACAACAAGCCUUUCACUUGCUCUCCCCAAGUGAAGUUGCAGGGUGCUGAGGUUGAUUAAUUAACUGGAGCCACAACAAUGUCAUCAUCUGGAUUAACUUGUAGCCCUUUGAGAUAUUCAUAUAGCCUUCACUUACCUGCAAGAGAUGUGGGGUUGAGUAAUGCCCGAGUUACUUCUUUUCCUAAUAUUAGGAGAUCAAAGGAUUUACUUUGUUUGCAUGGUUUGGCUGGUUCAACUCAGCAACGUAUAUGGCGAACUCCUUUGCUCAAAUGCACAAUGGAUGCAUCCUAUGGUGAUGCUACAAAUGAGUCUGCUGGUAAACUUUGUGCCUUGCUUAGUUAUUUCUUGAUUCUGUUUGAUUGAAGUUGUGUAGUUAAGUCGUUGACGUAUAGUGGUAAGGGAUCAUUAUUGAUUCAGCCAUUUAGCGUCUGGUAAAUUCUUAUAUUUGAGGACACGACACUGGUGGGAAUCAAUGUGACCAUAUUGGAGAUGAUGAAUGAAUGAAUGAUGAUUAGUCUCCUUGUUGAUGUGUAGGAGAAACGAAACCAGUAAUUGGAAUCUAUUUGAUUAUGGAGUCAAGAUGAAACAGUCUUUAGGGUAGAUUAAAUAUGAGGGCAGAUUAAUUUCUAAUUGGAAUUUUUUCUAGGGGGAUGAUCUUUCAUUUUAACUAAGUAUUGAUAACCCUAAGGGGUAGCUUAGUGCUCAAAUUUUGGAUUUGCUUCCCAAUGGUCACCAGUUCGAUCCCCUCAGAGGCACUGAGAUGAAUAUCUGGCUGUAAAUUUCAGGGUCUCGUGAGAUUAUACGAGGUGCGCGUAAGUUGGUCCGGACACUCACAGUCAUAAAAAAAAGUAUUGAUUACAAACUUCGAAGAGCAAAAAACUUAUGUAACUCCUCUUCUAAAACUUCAAUUGGUUGCACAUAUUGAUGAUCAUAGGGGAGUAGAGUGUAGAGUGACAGAUUGGUUUGCAGAAAAAUGACUGCAACGUCGGAGGCUUGAAUGGGUCCCGAUAAGGAAACAAUUCUUCUAUAUUGAAAAUAUAACUUCAAUACAAAUAUAAUGACCAGUAACAAAUAUUAUGAUCACAAGUCCUUUGCUCCAAGUGUUCAGGAAACUUAGUCAAACAUGCAAUAAAGCAUAAUAAUUACCAUUAAAGUCUCCAAACUUACAUUGAGCAUCAAAGGUAAGCUAAAAAAUUUCAUAAUUGAUAAUAAUUUGUCUUUUUUAUCUUAGCAUGAAAUUUAGGAACAUUGACAAAAAAAGGAGUUAACACUAUAUCCUGAUAAUUAGUAUACAACAUCCGAAUAUUGAUAGGAAGAGUACGUAGACGAACAAUUGCCUUGAAAAAAAUUGUGGCAACUUGGGGAAUAUGAAUCAGUUGAGGUACCACCACAAUAAAGUCAACCUUAAAGUCAUGCAAAGGAGUAGGCAAUAACAAUUUUGGCAUGAGGUCAAUGAUAGUUAGAAUGUUUGGUUUAGAUGGCAAUGUCGUAUGUAUUGCCUCAACUGUAUAAUGGUCAAUAUGAGACAAGUCUCAAAAUUCUCAGCUUCAUUAUCAGAAGAGUCAAUAAGUUCAAUAGUAGAAACCUCAUUUUCUUCUUCAGAAGGAGGAUUAACACAACUAGAGUUAGGAAGUGAUUGGAGUGGUAUGCUUAGUUUUUUACAUGAUUGAUGAAUUUGUAAAGAUAUGUACCAAAGGUUGGCCUGCAUUUAAGCUUCAUCUAAGAAUUGGGGUGCAAAAAUGUGGCUAGACAAGAUUUCAGUAUUCAAAUUAUUGAAAAACCUAGAUGCUAUGAUGUAGGGAGUUUCAUAAAUAUGGGGCUACAUACUCAUUAAUAGUGGAACAUUUUGUCUAUAGUGCAAAAAGAAUUGAUUUAAAAAUUGAGUCCAAUAAUAUACAUGGACAUAUUUGUUACUUAAUAUCCAUUUUAUUUCAUCUCACAAAGAAAUAGGGCGUUGAUCUAGAUAAUUAUAUGAAAAUGACUCAGGCCAAUCCAACCAUCAAAGUCCCACGAUUGUAAUGGAACAUGCUUGGAAAAAUUAUGAACGUCCACGACAUAGUUCCUAGUCGAGGGAUUAUUAUAUUGAUAAGAGGAAGGGAAAGACACACUAUUGUGGUAAUGAUGGGGUUUGAUGUAGGUAUAAGAUUUGUUAUAAGGAUCGUACACGAUGUUAAGGGGAGUGUCAAGACGAAGCAAUUUUUUAAUAUAUAAUAUUUUAAAUGGAAAGAAAGAAAAUAAAAUAUAUUUUAAAAAAAAAUAUGUUUAACAAGCCAGAACACUGAAAUAAAAGCUUAUUUUUAACAUUAAAGAAACCAAUUACGAAGGAAUGUAAUAGCAGAGGCACGUCACAAGGCUAUUUUUUUUGAUUAUUAUUAUUAUUAUUUUUUAAAUUAAAUUGAAUUGCAAGAAACCAACUUCUACUUAGCUGUUUAAUUGUGCUUGCUGAUGGCCUUGGGUUAAUAACCAUUAAAUUGGAUUAAUAGACUUUUGGGUUUCAAAAAGUUGGCUAAGUUUUAUUUGGAGAUGUGGGUUGAUUUUGAAGUGAAUAUCUGUAAUUGGACUCGGAUAAGCUGGUUGUUGAGCUAGGUUAUGUGUGAUAAUAGGAUUAUUAUGGUAAUUGGUUUGGUC